ensembl:snoRNA
ACCCUCUAGAUUCCUGUCCCUCAGAUCUAAAUAUUGGUCUGAGUGGCUAUAAAAGGAGGAAAAGUAAAACUGAAGUGGACUUUGAGUCUUGAAUGACUUGCAAGCUCAUUUCAAACAUAA